AGAAGAAGCACCGGCUAACUCCGUGCCAGCAGCCGCGGUAAUACGGAGGGUGCGAGCGUUAAUCGGAAUUACUGGGCGUAAAGCGCAUGCAGGUGGUUUGUUAAGUCAGAUGUGAAAGCCCGGGGCUCAACCUCGGAAUAGCAUUUUGAAAACUGGCAGACUAGAGUACUGUAGAGGGGGUAGAAUUUCAGGUGUAGCGGUGAAAAUGCGUAGAGAUCUGAAGGAAUACCGGUGGCGAAGGCGGCCCCCUGGACAGAUACUGACACUCAGAUGCGAAAGCGUGGGGAGCAAACAGGAUUAGAUACCCUGGUAG
rnacentral:rRNA from 1 species